rnacentral:tRNA from 1 species
GGAACGGUAGCUCAGCUGGGAUGAGCGUUCGCCUCACACGCGAGAGGUCACGGGUUCGAGCCCCGUCCGUUCCA